rnacentral:lncRNA from 1 species
CGGAGAUGGUGAAGGCAGAGAUGGUUGGGGAUGUGGCUGUGGCCGUGAGUAUCAAGAGCUCAUGUAAAGCAGUGAUCAUUCCUUCAGGAACAGGAUGUGCCCACCAUCACCUCUUCUCCCCUUCCCACUGGCUGGAAGGUAAAAUUAUGGCAGGAGCUGAAGCAGCCAUUUUAGAGCAGGAGGUGGAAUCACAUGCAGCAAGAUGGAAGAAAUCUGGCUCUCCAACGAGACAGAAGAAGCCUGGAUUUCCAAAACCACAGAACCAACCUCCCAGCCCUGAACAAUCUACUUUGAUAUUUAUGUAAGAGAAGUACACUUUGUUAGAAACACCAUUAUUUUGGCCUUUAGUAUAGUAGCCAAAUCUGUAUUCCAACCCAUAUUGAUCCCAGCCAUCUUUUUUCCUGCUC